UCAAUCCAACCCGAAACCCGUGGGCUGACCCGAAUAACCCGACAAAAUUAGAGGGUUAGGGCUGAAAAAUCACAACCCGAUAACAAAUCGGGCUAAUCGGGCUAGCCCGUUCGGGCUGGCGGGUUGAAGCGGGCCAGCCCGUCGGGUUGUCGGGCCAACCCGUCGGGUUACUCGAUUUAAAAAAAAAUUAAAAAUACUAAAAUUUUAGGGUUUGAAAUUGAAUUGCUUCAGACCUCAGUUCAGCCGCGCCUCCACUCUUCCAUUCUUCUACCUCCGACCCCGCACCAGUCACCACCUCCAGCCACGCCGCCGCGCCGCGCCUCCCCUCUCCGGCGCAUCCAACCCAAUUUGUCUCCCACCAGGCAACCACCGAACCACGCCGCUUCCCACCUGAGCCCAGCGGGCCAGCGCCAUCGCGCCUCGACUCCUCUCCAUCUCCCACCGCCGCGCCUCUUCCCACCUGAACUGAGCAGCUAUCGCUGUCGUCUGCUGCUUCUAGUCCGCCGCAAUUGCCGCUCACUCCAUCUACUCCGAUGGUGAAGAUGAUGAGCAAGAAGACAUGGAUCAAGUUGAAGCACCAAAUAUUAUCAAUGUUGAAGAAGAGUGUUACUCAAAUGUUUAGACUUUAUAUUAAUUUUUGAGAUGCUUUGUUUCCUUAAUUUCAAAUUAUUGUUGAAUAUUUUGUUUUUAUUUUUUUAACAAGUUGAACAUUUAUUGUUAUUAACUUGUUUUAUAUAUUAUGCGAUCUUGAAUAUUUUAUA